UGGCAGUGUAACAGUUGCAAAGAAGCAAACAAAAAAAGCAGCUUUUCAAAUUCUCUGGUUAAGCUCAUCACGCUUAUCCCCCCUGCUUAUUUAAUCAAUGAUUUUUCUGAGAUUGGUUUAAAUUCAUCAUCAGAAAUGAGAAUAUUUCCCUGAAACAGGAAAACAACUCAGAUUUCUGACAAAGUUUGAGCCCCUUUAAUUUGCUCUGUGUUUCCAGGCACAGAGGAAGCACCUGAGAGCUGGCACUUCACAUCCCAGGAAUAAGAGCAAGAUUCCCAGACAAAUCCAGGGAAAUUGUGCUGCUCUCCUGCUGUCACCACCCUGUAAAAGGAAGCAGAAUUUGCCCCCAGAUUACCUGAAAUUAAUCUGGUGCUAAUGUCCCUGGGCUGAUUGAGCCAAUGAAUGCAACUCCUCAGUGAUCACUCACCCUUAAUGCAACAAAACUGGGAUUUAAUUCGAGGCAAGAAAGGCUCUGCAUUUUCAGCCGCCUGCAAUUGUGGCUUAAUUAAAUUUCCUUAAUGCAGCCAGAAAUUAAAGGGGAGCCUCAUUAGUGGCUUUUGAGAUGAGGUGGAGUUUGAGGUAAAGGCAGGGAGAGUUUUGUGCUUCCAGCCCCAACUCUCAGCUGGUGUUUUAGGGUUAAAAAGUGGCAGAGAUGGGGAAAGUGAAGGGAUUCUUUCUCUUUGAGAAAUACCAGCUUUUGCCUGAUCCAGGAGGGCUGCUGCUGUACCUGCUCCUACUCUUCAAAAAUUAAACUGAGCUCGCUUGAAAUGAAAAGCAACAGCCCAAGCUGAUAAAUCCAAGAGGAUGUUCCCAUGUCCUCAUCAUUAAAGACGGAUGUGCUCAGUCUGUAUCUCCCUGGAGUGGAAAUGUGUUGUUGGGCCCCUGCUUGGACUUCCAGGGAUUGUGGGUUCAUGGCAUGCUGCCAACCCAGCUCUUCCUGCAGAGAUUCCUUCAAUUUCAGAGGCAAACCCACCACCUCCAGCCCUUUUAGGGCUUUUGCUGGUGUUUUCCAUGGCCAAGGGCUGAGUGAACCUGCUGUUCUGUCAGCAGUGUAGGGGAUCACCUGCACAACAUGGGCUUCUGGCAAAAAGGGGUGGCUGGUGUGACUUUAUUGGGGUGUCUGUGGUGUCUUCUGCAUGCCUGGCCUUGGAGAACCCACUGUGACACUUGGCAUUGCUCUUGGUAUGGAUGAAACCCCACCCAACCCUUCCUUGUCCAAAUAAAUUGAGUCUGAAGGGUUGAAGAUGUA